UGCUGCUGGUGGUCUCCGUGCCGGCGAAGAAGAGGGAGAGCAGCGUGCAGACGAGGUUCCGAUGGUGGAAUUCGCUGUUGGGGUCGGACUUCUCCUGAAUCCGAGCGGGCCGGGCAGGCGCCCAGAGACUCCACAGGCGGUGGCAGAAGAGUAUGAAAUUCUAUACCCACGGCUUGCGCCCAGACGCCUCCGCGUGGGCACCCCCCCCCCCCCUCCGGGGCCCGUGCCCACACACUUGAACUGAGCAGGGACGCCUCUGACCAUCUGACCACCAGCUACCAUGCUUCACCUCCAUGCACCUCCCUCGCCAACCUUCAUACACCCCACCCCUGGAGCCUGAAAGGAUGCCCUCACUCCUUCUGGGGAGUGAUCCCCAGGUCCAGGGGCAGUGAGUCACCCUCAGACCCCAUGCAUCGGCAUCUCACCCUCAGGAAGGAUUUGAGUAAGCCUCUUCUGUCCAUCUGCAGAAUAUUCCCCAAGAAGGCCAGAGGACGGGGGCCUGGUGGGAGGUGGCCAUGGGCCUUCGGGUGGCCCCUGGCCAGCAGAAGCAGGAGUCCCGUGAGGACAGCAAGAAGGAGAACGACACUGAGCUCCAUGGCCCGGCCCAACUGUCUUUGUCCCAACUUCAGCCUUGAUUGAGCUGGGCCUUUUAUCCUGAGCUGACUACCCCACCCAGUUAUGUAACUGCAUUCACUCCCCGCCUCCCCUCUCAUCACGUCCAAGAGUGUGAACUUAAAAGGGUGGUGUGUUUUUCAAGUAUGGGACGUCCCAUUCUUCCGGCUCACACAACCCUGUACAUGUUGGCAGAGACCAGGCGGUAGCGAUUCCAAAGCCCACGAGAGUGCAUGUGCCCGGUGCUCA